rnacentral:rRNA from 1 species
GACGAACGCUGGCGGCGUGCUUAACACAUGCAAGUCGAACGGAAAGGCCCUGCUUUUGUGGGGUGCUCGAGUGGCGAACGGGUGAGUAACACGUGAGUAACCUGCCCUUGACUUUGUGAUAACUUCAGGAAACUGGGGCUAAUACCGGAUAGGAGCUCCUGCUGCAUGGUGGGGGUUGGAAAGUUUCGGCGGUUGGGGAUGGACUCGCGGCUUAUCAGCUUGUUGGUGGGGUAGUGGCUUACCAAGGCUUUGACGGGUAGCCGGCCUGAGAGGGUGACCGGCCGCAUUGGGACUGAGAUACGGCCCAGACUCCUACGGGAGGCAGCAGUGGGGAAUAUUGCACAAUGGGCGGAAGCCUGAUGCAGCAACGCCGCGUGCGGGAUGACGGCCUUCGGGUUGUAAACCGCUUUCGCCUGUGACGAAGCGUGAGUGACGGUAAUGGGUAAAGAAGCACCGGCUAACUACGUG